AAAUAGAACUUUGCAGAGAGAGUUAAGAGGGCGUGAAACCGUUAAUUGGCAAACGAAUCGGAGCCACGAAGUCGUUUCGUCGAUAGUUGGUCCAAGUUCAACUUAGAUACAUCUGUGUCUAGGUGCAUUCUUGAGGCUAACCCUCGUUGUAAGCGUACACUGCAACCAGUUAGACGAUUGGCGGUGGAAGUAGUAGUUGCCGCGGGAGGUAGUAGUUCGGCUCCAUGUAUUUGGAUGUCCGUAUUGCUGGCUCGUGUGCAAGAGAACUACCACCAAAUACUGACUGGCGAAAUGAAAACCGCCUAGCGGCGUUUCUAGAUAGAGCGGCCAGCAGCGCGUGUUGUUACACGUUUGACGGGUAUGUUCAAGUUUGGUAUUUUUGAAUUUAGACUUGCUUGCUACCAAUGGGGUAACUCUUGGUGCUUGUAUAGCUUCUAUCUAAUCGGGUAUCGACUUAGCAUGCCUUAGUUUGAACGUGAGUCGAUUGAUAGUGCGCGUUAGUUGGUUCGCAACAAUUGGCAGUGAGUAGGUCGGCUUUCCGAACGACCCGUCUUGAAACACGGACCAAGGAGUCUAGUUAGGCAUCAAGUCGAUCGGUCUUGAAUAGGCCAGACUGGGGUUUUCACUCCGAUUGAAGGCGUAGAGAAUCAUGUGAUCUUGUGGCUACUCCAAGCUGCAAGCGCAACAUGUGCCUGCUCGUAUGCCAUUGCGCAAUGUGGUGGGCGGAGUAAAGAGAUGUCUGACUGGUACCCGAAAGAUGGUGAUGCUUGGGCAAAUUGAAGCCAGAGGAAACUCUGGUGGAGGAUUGUAGCGAUUCUGACGUGCAAAUCGAUCGUCAGACCUGAGUAUAGGGGCGAAAGACUAAUCGAACCAUC
rnacentral:rRNA from 1 species